rnacentral:tRNA from 1 species
GUGCCGCUAGCUCAAUUGGCAGAGCUGCUGACUCUUAAUCAGUAGGUUCGGGGUUCGACUCCCCGGCGGCGCA